rnacentral:rRNA from 1 species
UACGUAGGGUGCGAGCGUUAAUCGGAAUUACUGGGCGUAAAGCGUGCGCAGGCGGCUUUGCAAGACAGAUGUGAAAUCCCCGGGCUCAACCUGGGAACUGCAUUUGUGACUGCAAGGCUAGAGUACGGCAGAGGGGGAUGGAAUUCCGCGUGUAGCAGUGAAAUGCGUAGAUAUGCGGAGGAACACCAAUGGCGAAGGCAAUCCCCCGGGCCUGUACUGACGCUCAUGCACGAAAGCGUGGGGAGCAAACAGG